AUUGAACGCUGGCGGCAGGCCUAACACAUGCAAGUCGAACGGUAACAGGAAGCAGCUUGCUGCUUCGCUGACGAGUGGCGAACGGGUGAGUAAUGUCUGGGAAGCUGCCUGAUGGAGGGGGAUAACUACUGGAAACGGUAGCUAAUACCGCAUAAUGUCGCAAGACCAAAGAGGGGGACCUUCGGGCCUCUUGCCAUCGGAUGUGCCCAGAUGGGAUUAGCUUGUUGGUGGGGUAACGGCUCACCAAGGCGACGAUCCCUAGCUGGUCUGAGAGGAUGACCAGCCACACUGGAACUGAGACACGGUCCAGACUCCUACGGGAGGCAGCAGUGGGGAAUAUUGCACAAUGGGCGCAAGCCUGAUGCAGCCAUGCCGCGUGUAUGAAGAAGGUCUUCGGGUUGUAAAGUACUUUCAGCGGGGAGGAAGGGAGUAAAGUUAAUACCUUUGCUCAUUGACGUUACCCGCAGAAGAAGCACCGGCUAACUCCGU
rnacentral:rRNA from 1 species